rnacentral:rRNA from 1 species
UACGAAGGGGGCUAGCGUUGUUCGGAAUCACUGGGCGUAAAGCGCACGUAGGCGGAUUGUUAAGUUAGGGGUGAAAUCCCGGGGCUCAACCUCGGAACGGCCUCUGAUACUGGCAGUCUUGAGUUCGGGAGAGGAGUGUGGAACUCCGAGUGUAGAGGUGAAAUUCGUAGAUAUUCGGAAGAACACCAGAGGCGAAGGCGGCACUCUGGCCCGAUACUGACGCUGAGGUGCGAAAGCGUGGGGAGCAAACAGGAUUAGAAACCCUCGUAGUCC